GAUGAACGCUGGCGGCGUGCCUAAUACAUGCAAGUAGAACGCUGAGGGAGGAGCUUGCUCUUCUGGAUGAGUUGCGAACGGGUGAGUAACGCGUAGGUAACCUGCCUGGUAGCGGGGGAUAACUAUUGGAAACGAUAGCUAAUACCGCAUGACAACAGUUAUUGCAUGAUAACUGUUUAAAAGGGGCAACUGCUCCACUACCAGAUGGACCUGCGUUGUAUUAGCUAGUUGGUGAGGUAACGGCUCACCAAGGCGACGAUACAUAGCCGACCUGAGAGGGGGAUCGGCCACACUGGGACUGGGACACGGCCCAGACUCCUACGGGAGGCAGCAGUAGGGAAUCUUCGGCAAUGGACGGAAGUCUGACCGAGCAACGCCGCGUGAGUGAAGAAGGUUUUCGGAUCGUAAAGCUCUGUUGUAAGAGAAGAACGAGUGUGAGAGUGGAAAGUUCACACUGUGACGGUAUCUUACCAGAAAGGGACGGCUAACUACGUG
rnacentral:rRNA from 1 species